rnacentral:rRNA from 1 species
AACGAACGCUGGCGGCAUGCCUAACACAUGCAAGUCGAACGAGACCUUCGGGUCUAGUGGCGCACGGGUGCGUAACGCGUGGGAACCUGCCCUUAGGUUCGGAAUAACUCCCCGAAAGGGGUGCUAAUACCGGAUAAUGUCUUCGGACCAAAGAUUUAUCGCCUUUGGAUGGGCCCGCGUUGGAUUAGGUAGUUGGUAGGGGAAAAGCCUACCAAGGCGACGAUCCAUAGCUGGUCUGAGAGGAUGAUCAGCCAGACUGGGACUGAGACACGGCCCAGACCGCGACGGGAGGCAGGAGUGGGGAAUAUUGGACGAUGAGCGAAAGCCUGGUCCAGCAAUGCCGCGUGAGUGAUGAAGGGCUUAGGGUUGUAAAGCUCUUUUACCCGGGAUGAUAAUGACAGUACCGGGAGAAUAAGCUCCGGCUAACUCCGUG